CUUCCUCAUGAGGGAUAAACUGGCUAGACAGGUUUCUAAGUCCUUGAGAUGGUGUAAUUUGGGUAGCAACAUCGUGGCUAUUGAAGUUUAUAGGGAUGAUCUGUUGCUCUUAUCUCAACAAUUGCUAAAGAGACUGGAGAUGCCGCAGUUGAAUCCAUCCUUCGCUAAGACUUCGUCUAAGUUUGAGGAGUAGUUAAUGCAGGAUACCAGUGUGGCAUUAGAACAAGUGAAGGGAAAAAAAAAGCAUGGUCGACCACCUAAAGGUGCAAAAAAAUGGAAGUGUCUUUUAGCAUCCAGCAUCUCGAUGAGAGGUAUAAAUGAAGAAUUAAGAGGCGAAUUUGACGGUAAAUAUGCAGGCUUGGAGUGAAAGGUUACAAUAGAGAAAAAUGAAAGCUUCCCAGAAUAUCAUACCCAAGGGUACUUCUUCAAACACUGCAUUUGGUAAACCUCUCUUCUGCACUCCUUCGAGAAGUAAUAGCUAGUGUUAACAGGUUUCGCCAUACCCAAGGGACAGAGAUUAUUAUUUUGGAUUAUAAGUGUU